rnacentral:rRNA from 1 species
UACGUAGGGCGCAAGCGUUGUCCGGAAUUAUUGGGCGUAAAGAGCUCGUAGGCGGCUUGUCACGUCGGGUGUGAAAGCCCGGGGCUUAACCCCGGGUCUGCAUUCGAUACUUCCGAGCUGGAGGUAGGUAGGGGAGAUCGGAAUUCCUGGUGUAGCGGUGAAAUGCGCAGAUAUCAGGAGGAACACCGGUGGCGAAGGCGGAUCUCUGGGCCUUACCUGACGCUGAGGCGCGAAAGCUAGGGGAGCGAACAGG